UGGCAGCCUGGGCCCAGCAGGAUCACCUGCGGAGUGGAACCACCCAGCUGUUCACCAAGGAAUGCUGACCGGCCAAACCACCUUUUUCUUUAACUACAAAGAUCCACUCCAAGACGCGAAAAACACAUGGAAACGCACAACAAGCACACGAGCCCUGGAAAUCUGCAAGAGAAAAAAACAAACUGACACGAGAACAGGCAGAGACACUAGCAGCAACCAUCCCAGGUACCCGGGACCCAAUCAAAGCUAGGCUAGGCUACUGCGACUAUCUGAACCCCAAAACUGUGGAGUAAGCAUGCAGGGCUCUUACAUACCAGCCAGGCCAGCCCGUCCCAGGCCGACGAGGGAACCUGGGUGGAGUUGGCCCCUCCAAAGACGUUAAGUAUCCUUGUUAAGUGUAUCUCUAUAAAAUGCUGAGUGUGUAUUCUAAGAUGAUAUUAAAAUCGUGGGGCGGGGAAUACCGGGGCAUGUGGGACAGUGUCCCCCACGCCCCGGACCCCCCGACCCCUCGGACCUAUGUGUGCGGGGCCGGCCCACCGAGCUGGGCCAGGGCCCCACCGCACCCCCAGGAGCAGCCCCCCGGCGCCACCGGAGCCACCAGGCGGAGGAGGAAAUGGCACAACAUCCUUCCAUUCACACUGACGACAGAUAACAUAGACACCUGGGAAUGACUCCCCUCGCCUCGCAGCGCCCCUUGUGACCAAGAGAUCUGGUCAGUGUUGAGAGAGAGGUCCGCCUCCCAUUUUGAGAUCGGAAGAGAGACUGAGUUAUCUAUUAACCUGUAGAGUUUCGAUAGCAAUUUUGGGGUGUUUAGA